rnacentral:rRNA from 1 species
GAGAUAGAGCUUCCCCUUCGGGGGCAAAGUGACAGGUGGUGCAUGGUUGUCGUCAGCUCGUGUCGUGAGAUGUUGGGUUAAGUCCCGCAACGAGCGCAACCCUUAUUGUUAGUUGCCAUCAUUUAGUUGGGCACUCUAGCGAGACUGCCGGUGACAAACCGGAGGAAGGUGGGGAUGACGUCAAAUCAUCAUGCCCCUUAUGACCUGGGCUACACACGUGCUACAAUGGGAAGUACAACGAGUUGCGAAGUCGCGAGGCUAAGCUAAUCUCUUAAAGCUUCUCUCAGUUCGGAUUGUAGGCUGCAACUCGCCUACAUGAAGCCGGAAUCGCUAGUAAUCGCGGAUCAGCACGCCGCGGUGAAUACGUUCCCGGGCCUUGUACACACCGCCCGUCACACCACGAGAGUUUGUAACACCCGAAGUCGGUGAGGUAACCUUUUUGGAGCCAGCCGCCUAAGGUGGGAUAGAUGAUUGGGGUGAAGUCGUAACAAGGUAGC